GUACUGAUGAAGAGUCCCAAACUGGGACGAAACAGCUGUCCAGUAC
rfam:Trichobilharzia regenti genome assembly, scaffold: TRE_scaffold0057196